rnacentral:lncRNA from 1 species
GACUGAGGGCCCUCAUGGGGUUUUUGAUUAUGUGAUUACUUGGCCGUUUUUUUAAUGAUUAUUUGAUUAUUAAGCCAAAUAUUUCAUGAUUAUUUGAUUACCUAGGACUGUAUUUUUAGUUUAUGAUUAUUUGAUUACUAAAGAUAAGCAAAUAUUUAAUGAUUAUGUGAUUAUAUUGGCAAAAAAAUGGUGAUUAUGUGAUUACUAGGACCCCCCCAUGAGGGGCCUCAUGUCUGUAAUAUUUUUUCUGUCUAUGAAGAAAUAACAUAAAAAAUUUGGUGCACACUGAAUAAUGCGCGUAGCGGGUUAUUUAACAGUGUGCACCACAUUUUUUAUGUUAUUUCGAAUAGACAGAAAAAAUAUUACAGUCAUUUCUUAUAAUUUAAUUCUAAAUUCCAUUUUAAACCGUAGAAAACCAUGAAAAAACGUUGAUGACGUCACGGUCACAUGACUAAAUUAUGUAUAUGGGCUCAUAACAAAAUAAUGUCAGCCAAUCAGAACACGCGUUACAUCCAAAA